UGGAGCAAGCUAAUAUGACAGCCA
rnacentral:piRNA from 1 species